ensembl:antisense
GAAGGGCAUCAGGUGGUAGUUCAUGGCGUCCAGCAGCAGCUUCUGGCAGACCGGGUCGGUGCGCAUGAAAUCCACCGACUGGACCCGCUCUACCAGCUCCGGGGCGGGGAUGAGCGCAAAGCGGAGGCGCUUCAUGAGGUCGGGCGCGUACUGCAUGCGGGUCUCACGGUCGUGCUCCAGCCACAGCACGGACAUCUGGAAAAGUGCCAGCUCCGACUCCACGGGGGGCGGCAGCGAGUCCAGCAGGGCACGCAUCUCCUCGAAGUUAAGCAACAGCACAUCUUCCACCAGGUACUUGUUGGCCAGCUUCUUGGUCUCCUCCAGGCCGUGCAGUGCGGCGAUCUUGCACACCUGCUUGUAGUUCUGCACCGAGAUCUGGUCGUUGAGGAACUGAACGCAGAGCUUGGUGACCUGAGGAAUGUGCAGGAUUUUGCUGACCGACAGCACUUCCUCCACGGUGUCCAGGGAGAGGGUCACGUUGGCUGUGUAGAGCAGGUUGAGACCGUGCAGCAGGUUGUCACUGUGGCUGGGGUCGAAGGUGGAGGUCCUGUCCCCGGAUCUGGACAUGGCGAGCUGACUCUGCGCACCUGGCUUUAAACCCUCCUCCAACCUGGCAGACGGGUGGGGGAUGGGAGGGGUAGCAGGGAGGUGUAGGGGGUGGGGUGUGGUGUGGUCGGGGUGGGGAAGGGUGUGGAGGGGAGAGAGGAACAACAAUCAAGGCCCCGCUUGGUUCCCUCCCUGCGCUCUUAGGAUCCGAACCUAAGAGGGAGGUGUGAAGGCGCCGGGUCCUGAGCGCCUCCAGAAGGGUCCUCGUCUGGGGUCGGGACUUCGGUUCUGCUCCUUGCUAUCUCUUAUACACUUCGCCCCUCACUUUCCUAAAAGCACCCAGGCUUCUCUCUUGGCAGCAACAGCGGUGAUAGCAGCGGCGGCAAAAGUGGAGGCUGAGGCCGUGACACCUCGUGGGCUCGAGUCCAUGCCCGGCUGGAUGAACGGAAAGGCCGGGAGUGGGGAGUCAGGGGGUGCCUCAAGAGCUCAGAGGCGACCGACGGCGGCGGUUCCAGGGCUGAACAGGAAGGGACCCUCUUGCCCGUGUCCCGCCCGCGCGCCCGCCGGGACCACCGCCGCCGCCGCCCGGCUCCGAGGGACCCGCCGGACCUGCCCCUUCCGCUGCGGCUCACUCUGCCUUGCCCGGCGCGGCUUCUGGAUCGCCGGCUUCAUUCCUACCAGACUGGGCUCCUCUCCACUCACUUUCCCAUCCUGUUCCAGGCUGGCGACUUCGCUGCUGAGCUGAAACUGCUAAUUUCUGUGACCAGCUUUUUUCUUAGCUGUGAUCUGGAUGAAUGAGUAGCUGUCUCACAGAGAUGACAAAAAUAAACUCUAAUCCCCCCCAAAA